UACAGAGGGGGCUAGCGUUAUUCGGAAUUAUUGGGCGUAAAGGGCGCGUAGGCGGCCAUGCGUGUCUUCCGUGAAAUCCCUCGGCUUAACUGAGGACGUGCGGAAGAAACUGCAAGGCUCGAGUCCGGGAGAGGGGGGUGGAAUUCCCAGUGUAGCGGUGAAAUGCGUAGAUAUUGGGAGGAACACCGGUGGCGAAGGCAGCCCCCUGGGCUGAGAUUGACGCUCAGGCACGAAAGCGUGGGGAGCAAACAGG
rnacentral:rRNA from 1 species